UACGGAGGGUGCAAGCGUUAUCCGGAUUCACUGGGUUUAAAGGGUGCGUAGGUGGGCAAGUAAGUCAGUGGUGAAAUCUCCGGGCUUAACCCGGAAACUGGCCAUUGAUCACUAUUUGUCUUGAAUACUGUGGAGGUCAGCGGAAUAUGUCAGUGUAGCGGUGAAAUGCUUAGAUAUGACAUAGAACACCAAUUGCGAAGGCAGCUGGCUACACAAAUAUUGACACUGGAGGCACGAAAGCGUGGGGAUCAAACAGGA
rnacentral:rRNA from 1 species